GGAGGAGGGGCGUGCUGGGGAGAGCGGAGGAGGAGGGGCGUGCUGGGGAGAGCGGAGGAGGAGGGGCGUGCAGAGAGCGGGGGAGGAGCUGGAGAGAGAGGGAUAGGAGGAGGAGGGCACGGCAAGCGGCGGGGCAGCAAGGAGAGCGUCGGAGCGCGGUGGCAAUCAGCGUCCUCGGCGGGCGGCGCGGGCCUCGGCGGAGGGUAUCGGUGGCGGCCAGCGGCGCGGGCCUCGGCGGAGGGCGUCGGCGGCCGCCAGCGGCGCCGGCAGCGGGGCCCUCGGAGGGGCGGCCGGAAAACGGCGGAGGGCGCCGGCGCGGGAAGUAGCGGCCACCGGCGCGUGCAGCGGGGCCCUUGGCGGGGCGGCCGGGAAACGGCGGAGGGCGUCCGCGACGAGGUGCCCUAGGCCGUUCCAGCAGAAGGUAGUGCUGUCGGGUACUCUCCAGUAGAAGGCAGUACCCACGUCGACUGACCCCGCACCAUCAGCAGGGGUAGCAGAGAUGACAGGAGUACGGUUCGCCACCAGGAAGGGCCGCCGGGAACGAGGAAGCGAUCGCGCGGAGGCCGCCGCCGAAAGAAGAGGAGUCGCCGCCGCCGCCACCGCCCGGCCGUCCACCCGUUCGCUCGGUCCUUGGGAUUGGCAAAGACUACCCGUUCCGGUCGCUACUACCACGCAGAGAGGCACGCCGCCGCUGCUCUUAGUACGUAGGCCGUCACGAAGGAUCCCUCCUCGAAGUGGCAACACGUUCAGACCGACAUCGAGCACUACCUUCAAACCCUAUCGGACCUCUACUGUGUAUGAGACUUGAUUGAGUCGAAGGAAGCAACGAUGAAGUCCCGGUAGAGUCGGUAAGACUCGUGGAUGCGGAGUGGUGUCCGGUGGCUUUUGCGACUCGUAUUCAACGUGCUACAACACUAGCUUUAGGGUUUGGCCGAAGGCGUGUCACUCAGGAAGGUACACAGUUGACUACUUCUCUAUUCUAAAUAACCUAAAGAAAACGACUACAUAAGCUGACGAAGACGUAUACCUCAAUCGAGUAACCCUCUUAAGACUUCGGUCCGGAACUCUCUCAGACCUUCAUGUUUCACGUCUUGUUUUAGACCUAACGACUGGUCGAACGCUAGGCCCCUUCAGGGGUGAGCGGCUACACGUUCUACACGUUGGACUACGGACUUAGACGCCGAGUAAAUUCAACACGAAAACGCUCAGUCUAGACGGUCAACGACAGGGACCACUGGGGAAGGUAACGCGGACGUCCAAAUUAACUCUUGAGUCAAUACAACACCACCCGGUUCCAUAAACGUUACCACAGCCAACAGUUAUUUUCCUCCGGCGACCUAACCCGGGAUCUGUGUCAAACCUUAGACACCUUUCUUGCGAUGUCCACUUGGAAAUUUCGUUUUCUCCGUAGCCGAUUACACCAAAAGAGCGACUAAUCCCUGUUCCAAUUCCGGAAGUCCCGACGAACCGCGCUCCCUAUCGGAACCAAAAAGAACAAAGAAUGGAAAUAGUACACGUUUUGAAGAAAUCAAAUCGAGAAAGACCUCCGAUGAAAUCCGCAAAAAAGACUUCGGUUCGUACAACACUCUUUCUAUCGUCCUUUCUACUUUCAGGUUAAGUUUCUCCUCGACGCGUCUAUCUUUAACUACACAGCAACACAAGAAACUUAAAAGGAGUUGAAUGUACUACUAUCGCUUGGCAAAUAUCACCAAUACAAGUAGAAGUUCGAGAAAUUCACAUAAAGAAACAUAGAAACUUACGAACAAACAGUACAAAAUGAAUGCGCCCACAGUAGGUAUCAUCCUG
rnacentral:rRNA from 1 species